AUUGAACGCUGGCGGCAUGCCUUACACAUGCAAGUCGAACGGCAGCACGGAGCUUGCUCUGGUGGCGAGUGGCGAACGGGUGAGUAAUAUAUCGGAACGUACCCAAGAGUGGGGGAUAACGUAGCGAAAGUUACGCUAAUACCGCAUACGAUCUAAGGAUGAAAGCAGGGGAUCGCAAGACCUUGUGCUCCUGGAGCGGCCGAUAUCUGAUUAGCUAGUUGGUGAGGUAAAGGCUCAGCAAGGCAUCGAUCAGUAGCUGGUCUGAGAGGACGACCAGCCACACUGGAACUGAGACACGGUCCAGACUCCUACGGGAGGCAGCAGUGGGGAAUUUUGGACAAUGGGGGCAACCCUGAUCCAGCAAUGCCGCGUGAGUGAAGAAGGCCUUCGGGUUGUAAAGCUCUUUUGUCAGGGAAGAAACGGUGAAGGCUAAUAUCCUUUGCUAAUGACGGUACCUGAAGAAUAAGCACCGGCUAACUACGUGCCAGCAGCCGCCGUAA
rnacentral:rRNA from 1 species